CCCUGGGUGACGACGGCAGCAAUGGAACUUUGGCUGACGGCUACACGGGCAACGGCACCCUGGGCGACGACGGCAACGUGACUUUUGCUGACGUCUACACUGGCAACGGCACCCUGGCCGACGUCGAGACGGGCAACGGAACUUUGGCAGAUGGCAACGACACCCUGGGCGACGACGGAAACGUGACUUUGGCUGACGGCUACACGGGCAACGGCACCCUGGGCGACGACGGCAGCAAUGGAACUUUGGCUGAUGGCUACACGGGCAACGGCACCCUGGGCGACGACGGCAACGUGACUUUUGCUGACGUCUACACUGGCAACGGUACCCUGGCCGACGUCGAGACGGGCAACGGAACUUUGGCAGAUGGCAACGGCACCCUGGGCGACGACGGCAGCAAUGGAACUUUGGCUGACGGCUACACGGGCAACGGCAACCUGGGCGACGUCGACACGGGCAACGGAACUUUGGCAGAUGGCAACGGCACCCUGUCCGACGUCUACACCCGCAACGGCACCCUGGGCGACGAUGGCAGCAAUGGUACUUUGGCAGAUGGCUACGCAGGCAACGGCACCCUGGGCGACGACUGCAACGAGACUUUGGCUGACGUCUACGCGGGCAACGGCACCCUGGGCGACGACACCCGCAACGGCACCCUGGGCGACGACGGCAGCAAUGGAACUUUGGCUGACGUCUACACUGGCAACGGCACCCUGGGCGACGACGGCAGCAAUGGAACUUUGGCUGACGG
ensembl:lncRNA